ACGGGAGGCAGCAGUGGGGAAUAUUGCACAAUGGGCGAAAGCCUGAUGCAGCGACGCCGCGUGAGUGAAGAAGUAUUUCGGUAUGUAAAGCUCUUUAAGCAGGGAAGAUAAUGACGGUACCUGCAGAAUAAGCCCCGGCUAACUACGUGCCAGCAGCCGCGGUAAUACGUAGGGGGCAAGCGUUAUCCGGAUUUACUGGGUGUAAAGGGAGCGUAGACGGCAUAGCAAGUCUGAAGUGAAAGCCCGCGGCUUAACUGCGGGACUGCUUUGGAAACUGUCAUGCUAGAGUGUCGGAGAGGUGAGUGGAAUUCCCAGUGUAGCGGUGAAAUGCGUAGAUAUUGGGAAGAACACCGGAGGCGAAGGCGGCUCACUGGACGAUAACUGACGUUGAUGCUCGAAAGCGUGGGGAGCAAACAGGAUUAGAUACCCUGGUA
rnacentral:rRNA from 1 species